rnacentral:lncRNA from 1 species
UGCUGUGCUCCUGCACUGGGAUGCUUGUGAUACAGUUUUCUGUAUAGACACGCUUAAAUUCAUAGAAUUGCUACUGUUGAAAGGAACUUUCAAAUCACCUUGUUCCAGGUCAGGUUGCUACCAGCCCCAUCCAAACUUGAACACUUCCAUGGGUGAGGCAUCCACAGCUUCCUGAGCCAAAAUGGUGCGGCACUGCUUUGUGCUGCACUGAACACGGAAAAGAGACUCAUGCGAGUUUGUCAGCAUGAAUCAGAGGUGGGAAACCUUUGGAAGGACCUGCCACACUGAAAGUUUCUUCCAGUUGCAGAUGAAAGCUGGGCAGCAGGAAAAGCCUUCCUACUGUUUUCAUCAUGUAGACACCAGGGCUCCCUGGAAGAUGCCAGACUGAAAUGGUUUAAAUGUGAAAAGAGAUAUUUGGUUAUUAUCCAGACGUAGCCAGCCAUUAUUUAAAUUGUUCUUUUUUUUUAGGGGGGUGGGGAGUUGAAUAAAGGCUGGAAUCAGUAAUUUCCUUUCCA